UGAGGCAGGAGAAUUGCUUAAACCCAGGAGGUGGAGGUUUCAGUGAGCCGAGAUCACGCCACUGCACUCCAGCCUGGGUGACACAGCGAGACUCCAUCUC
ensembl:miRNA